GACGAACCACCCAAACGUUAUUCGGAAUUACUGGGCUUAAAGGGUGCGUAGGCUGUGCGGAAAGUUGGGUGUGAAAUACCUCAGCUUAACUGAGGAACUGCGCUCAAAACUACCGUGCUGGAGGGAGACAGAGGUAAGCGGAACUUAGGGUGGAGCGGUGAAAUGCGUUGAUAUCCUAAGGAACACCGGUGGCGAAGGCGGAUCUCUGGGCCAUUACUGACGCUGAGGAGCGAAAGCGUGGGGAGCGAACAGG
rnacentral:rRNA from 1 species